UACGUAGGGCGCAAGCGUUGUCCGGAAUUAUUGGGCGUAAAGAGUUCGUCGGCGGCUUGUCGCGUCGGAUGUGAAAGCCCGGGGCUUAACUCCGGGUCUGCAUUCGAUACGGGCAGGCUAGAGUUCGGUAGGGGAGAUCGGAAUUCCUGGUGUAGCGGUGAAAUGCGCAGAUAUCAGGAGGAACACCGGUGGCGAAGGCGAGUCCCUGGACAACUUCUGACGCUGAGGCACGAAAGCUAGGGGAGCAAACAGG
rnacentral:rRNA from 1 species